rnacentral:lncRNA from 1 species
UAUUUUUGUUAUACUUUAAGGGGGUAGACCUUGGUUCAGGGAGAUAACUCUUUAAAUCAGUUAAGCGUUUGUAAAAGUCAAGUUCAUCAAUGUAUUUUAAGCAUUUACCUGAAACAGAUUGAAAAUAAUCUAUGUAACCUAGAAGCUUAGAAUAUAUUUUUGAAAAUGGUUGACACAAACGUACUGAUGAUUUUAAGAGUUAUUUCCCUUAACCUAGGUCUACCUCCUUAAAGAGGAU